AUACGCAGGGUGCGAGCGUUGUCCGGAAUUACUGGGCGUAAAGAGCUCGUAGGUGGUUUGUCGCGUCGUCUGUGAAAUUCCGGGGCUUAACUCCGGGCGUGCAGGCGAUACGGGCAUAACUUGAGUACUGUAGGGGAGACUGGAAUUCCUGGUGUAGCGGUGAAAUGCGCAGAUAUCAGGAGGAACACCGGUGGCGAAGGCGGGUCUCUGGGCAGUAACUGACGCUGAGGAGCGAAAGCAUGGUGAGCGAAAAGGAUUAGAUCCCCUGGUAGUCCAUGCCGUAAACGGUGGGCGCUAGGUGUAGGGGUCUUCCACGACUUCUGUGCCGUAGCUAACGCAUUAAGCGCCCCGCCUGGGGAGUACGGCCGCAAGGCUAAAACUCAAAGGAAUUGACGGGG
rnacentral:rRNA from 1 species